UGCUCAGGGAGUCCUGGAAUUUCCACAGGUC
rnacentral:piRNA from 1 species